UCAUGAGUCAAAAUUAGAAAUAUGUGAAAGUGUUUUGUUUCGCAGCACAUCUUCUGGUGGACAUUGUCAAAAUACAGGGAUGAUAACUAAAACAAAGAUACCUGUCAUGUGACCCAAUUUGCCAGCGCCUUGAAAGGUAUUCAUUAUUAAGAUUAUAUAGUGGUGCCUUGAGAGGUGUUCAUUAUUAAGAUUAUAUAGUGGUGCCUUGAGAGGUGUUCAUUAUUAAGAUUGUAUAGUGGUGCCUUGAGAGGUGUUCAUUAUUAAGAUUAUAUAGUGGUGCCUUGAGAGGUGUUCAUUAUUAAGAUUAUAUAGUGGUGCCUUGAGAGGUGUUCAUUAUUAAGAUUAUAUAGUGGUGCCUUGAGAGGUGUUCAUUAUUAAGAUUGUAUAGUGGUGCCUUGAGAGGUGUUCAUUAUUAAGAUUGUAUAGUGGUGCCUUGAGAGGUGUUCAUUAUUAAGAUUGUAUAGUGGUGCCUUGAGAGGUGUUCAUUAUUAAGAUUGUAUAGUGGUGCCUUGAGAGGUGUUCAUUAUUAAGAUUGUAUAGUGGUGCCUUGAGAGGUGUUCAUUAUUAAGAUUGUAUAGUGGUGCCUUGAGAGGUGUUCAUUAUUAAGAUUGUAUAGUGGUGCCUUGAGAGGUGUUCAUUAUUAAGAUUAUAUAGUGGUGCCUUGAGAGGUGUUCAUUAUUAAGAUUGUAUAGUGGUGCCUUGAGAGGUGUUCAUUAUUAAGAUUAUAUAGUGGUGCCUUGAGAGGUGUUCAUUAUUAAGAUUAUAUAGUGGUGCCUUGAGAGGUGUUCAUUAUUAAGAUUAUAUAGUGGUGCCUUGAGAGGUGUUCAUUAUUAAGAUUAUAUAGUGGUGCCUUGAGAGGUGUUCAUUAUUAAGAUUAUAUAGUGGUGCCUUGAGAGGUGUUCAUUAUUAAGAUUAUAUAGUGGUGCCUUGAGAGGUGUUCAUUAUUAAGAUUAUAUAGUGGUGCCUUGAGAGGUGUUCAUUAUUAAGAUUGUAUAGUGGUGCCUUGAGAGGUGUUCAUUAUUAAGAUUAUAUAGUGGUGCCUUGAGAGGUGUUCAUUAUUAAGAUUGUAUAGUGGUGCCUUGAGAGGUGUUCAUUAUUAAGAUUAUAUAGUGGUGCCUUGAGAGGUGUUCAUUAUUAAGAUUGUAUAGUGGUGCCUUGAGAGGUGUUCAUUAUUAAGAUUAUAUAGUGGUGCCUUGAGAGGUGUUCAUUAUUAAGAUUGUAUAGUGGUGCCUUGAGAGGUGUUCAUUAUUAAGAUUGUAUAGUGGUGCCUUGAGAGGUGUUCAUUAUUAAGAUUGUAUAGUGGUGCCUUGAGAGGUGUUCAUUAUUAAGAUUAUAUAGUGGUGCCUUGAGAGGUGUUCAUUAUUAAGAUUGUAUAGUGGUGACUUGAGAGGUGUUCAUUAUUAAGAUUGUAUAGUGGUGCCUUGAGAGGUGUUCAUUAUUAAGAUUGUAUAGUGGUGACUUGAGAGGUCAACUGUUUGGGUUGGAUGUGUCCUCAUAAUGCUGUUUCACUUUGUUUCACUGUUUCACUUUCCCACGAGGCUCCCAAUUUUGUAGUCUC